rnacentral:rRNA from 2 species
CAUUGGACGCAAGUCUGAUGGAGCACGCCGCGUGAGUGAAGAAGGCUUUCGGGUCGUAAAACUCUGUUGUUGGAGAAGAAUGGUCGGCAGAGUAACUGUUGUCGGCGUGACGGUAUCCAACCAGAAAGCCACGGCUAACUACGUGCCAGCAGCCGCGGUAAUACGUAGGUGACAAGCGUUAUCCGGAUUUAUUGGGCGUAAAGCGAGCGCAGGCGGUUUUUUAAGUCUGAUGUGAAAGCCCUCGGCUUAGCCGAGGAAGUGCAUCGGAAACUGGGAAACUUGAGCGCAGAAGAGGACAGUGGAACUCCAUGUGUAGCGGUGAAAUGCGUAGAUAUAUGGAAGAACACCAGUGGCGAAGGCGGCUGUCUGGUCUGUAACUGACGCUGAGGCUCGAAAGCAUGGGUAGCGAACAGGAUUAGAUACCCUGGUAGUCCAUGCCGUAAACGAUGAAUGCUAGGUGUUGGAGGGUUUCCGCCCUUCAGUGCCGCAGCUAACGCAUUAAGCAUUCCGCCUGGGGAGUACGACCGCAAGGUUGAAACUCAAAGGAAUUGACGGGGGCCCGCACAAGCCGGUGGAGCAUGUGGUUUAAUUCGAAGCAACGCGAAGAACCUUACCAGGUCUUG